UUCUUUCUAGAAACACUUUCCAGUACCUCUACUUUGUUACGACUUAUUUCAACUUAUUAAUAUAUGAAAGCGACGGGCAAUAUGUACAUAUUUCAAUUUUUAAUCAUUUUAUUAAAUUAAAUAAAAUUACAUUUAAAUCCACCUUCAAUUAGAUAUUACAAACUAAUAUUCAUUUAAAUAAAUUUAUUGUAAUCCAUUAUAUUCUUAAUUAUAAUCUGCAUCUUGAUCUGAUUUAAUUUAUUUUUAUAAAUUUAAAAUAUUAAUUUUAUAAAAAAAUAUUUUUUUAACAACGAUAUACAAAAUUAUAAAUUAAGUAAAUUUAUUCGUGGAUUAUCAAUUAUUAAACAGAUUCCUCUAAAUGAACUAAAAUACCGCCAAAUUGUUUAAGUUUCAAUAAAUAAUUAUCUACUAUUUUAGUAUUAUAAUUUUAAAUUUUAAUAAUAGGGUAUCUAAUCCUAGUUUUUUAUAAAAUUUAUUAAAUAAUAAUUAUAAAAAUAAAAUUUUAUUAAAUUAAAAUUUCACCUAAUAAUUUAAAAUUUUAAUUAUUAAAUAAAUAAUUAUAUAUUAAUAUCUAAUAAAAUUUAAUUUAACUUUUGUAUAACCGCAACUGCUGGCACAAAAUUUGUUAUUAAUUUAAAAUAUUACUAAAUCUUAAUUUCUUAAAUAAUUUAAUAUUAAUUACUACUUAUAAAAAUAAAUUAUUAUUAAAAUAAUUUAAAAAUAACACUAAAAUU
rnacentral:rRNA from 1 species